GACGAACGCUGGCGGCGUGCCUAAUACAUGCAAGUAGAACGCUGAAGAGAGGAGCUUGCUCUUCUUGGACGAGUUGCGAACGGGUGAGUAACGCGUAGGUAACCUGCCUUGUAGCGGGGGAUAACUAUUGGAAACGAUAGCUAAUACCGCAUAACAAUGGAUGACCCAUGUCAUUUAUUUGAAAGGGGCAAAUGCUCCACUACAAGAUGGACCUGCGUUGUAUUGGCUAGUAGGUGAGGUAACGGCUCACCUAGGCGACGAUACAUAGCCGACCUGAGAGGGUGAUCGGCCACACUGGGACUGAGACACGGCCCAGACUCCUACGGGAGGCAGCAGUAGGGAAUCUUCGGCAAUGGGGGCAACCCUGACCGAGCAACGCCGCGUGAGUGAAGAAGGGUUUCGGAUCGUAAAGCUCUGUUGUAAGUCAAGAACGAGUGUGAGAGUGGAAAGUUCACACUGUGACGGUAGCUUACCAGAAAGGGACGGCUAACUACGUG
rnacentral:rRNA from 1 species